AUCCUUCCUUGGCAGGGAAGACACCAUGAUCAAAAAUGUGAAUAACCAUUGUACUCCAGAUGUUCUGAGUUCUGAGAUUUCCCCAAAUGUGGAAAACUCAACUGAAAACUCAUAGUUUACAGUAGUAAGAUAGUUCCUUCAUCUACCU
rnacentral:snRNA from 14 species